rnacentral:rRNA from 1 species
UGUAAGACUGGGAUAACUCCGGGAAACCGGAGCUAAUACCGGAUAGUUCCUUGAACCGCAUGGUUCAAGGAUGAAAGACGGUUUCGGCUGUCACUUACAGAUGGACCCGCGGCGCAUUAGCUAGUUGGUGGGGUAAUGGCUCACCAAGGCGACGAUGCGUAGCCGACCUGAGAGGGUGAUCGGCCACACUGGGACUGAGACACGGCCCAGACUCCUACGGGAGGCAGCAGUAGGGAAUCUUCCGCAAUGGACGAAAGUCUGACGGAGCAACGCCGCGUGAGUGAUGAAGGUUUUCGGAUCGUAAAGCUCUGUUGUUAGGGAAGAACAAGUGCGAGAGUAACUGCUCGCACCUUGACGGUACCUAACCAGAAAGCCACGGCUAACUACGUGCCAGCAGCCGCGGUAAUACGUAGGUGGCAAGCGUUGUCCGGAAUUAUUGGGCGUAAAGGGCUCGCAGGCGGUUUCUUAAGUCUGAUGUGAAAGCCCCCGGCUCAACCGGGGAGGGUCAUUGGAAACUGGGAAACUUGAGUGCAGAAGAGGAGAGUGGAAUUCCACGUGUAGCGGUGAAAUGCGUAGAGAUGUGGAGGAACACCAGUGGCGAAGGCGACUCUCUGGUCUGUAACUGACGCUGAGGAGCGAAAGCGUGSGGAGCGAACAGGAUUAGAUACCCUGGUAGUCCACGCCGUAAACGAUGAGUGCUAAGUGUUAGGGGGUUUCCGCCCCUUAGUGCUGCAGCUAACGCAUUAAGCACUCCGCCUGGGGAGUACGGUCGCAAGACUGAAACUCAAAGGAAUUGACGGGGGCCCGCACAAGCGGUGGAGCAUGUGGUUUAAUUCGAAGCAACGCGAAGAACCUUACCAGGUCUUGACAUCCUCUGACAACCCUAGAGAUAGGGCUUUCCCUUCGGGGACAGAGUGACAGGUGGUGCAUGGUUGUCGUCAGCUCGUGUCGUGAGAUGUUGGGUUAAGUCCCGCAACGAGCGCAACCCUUGAUCUUAGUUGCCAGCAUUCAGUUGGGCACUCUAAGGUGACUGCCGGUGACAAACCGGAGGAAGGUGGGGAUGACGUCAAAUCAUCAUGCCCCUUAUGACCUGGGCUACACACGUGCUACAAUGGACAGAACAAAGGGCUGCGAGACCGCAAGGUUUAGCCAAUCCCAUAAAUCUGUUCUCAGUUCGGAUCGCAGUCUGCAACUCGACUGCGUGAAGCUGGAAUCGCUAGUA